rnacentral:rRNA from 1 species
UGAGGAAUAUUGCGCAAUGGGCGAAAGCCUGACGCAGCGACGCCGCGUGGGGGAUGAAGGUCUUCGGAUUGUAAACCCCUUUCGGGAGGGAAGAUGGAACGGGCAACCGUUCGGACGGUACCUCCAGAAGCAGCCACGGCUAACUUCGUGCCAGCAGCCGCGGUAAUACGAAGGUGGCAAGCGUUGUUCGGAUUUACUGGGCGUACAGGGUGCGUAGGCGGUUCGGUAAGCCCUUCGGGAAAACUCCAGGCUCAACCUGGAAAGUUCGGAGGGGACUGCCGGGCUAGAGGACGGGAGAGGAGCGCGGAAUUCCCGGUGUAGCGGUGAAAUGCGUAGAGAUCGGGAGGAAGGCCGGUGGCGAAGGCGGCGCUCUGGAACGUUCCUGACGCUGAGGCACGAAAGCGUGGGGAGCAAACAGGAUUAGAUACCCCCGUAGUCC